UACGUAGGGUGCAAGCGUUGUCCGGAAUUACUGGGCGUAAAGGGCGCGUAGGCGGUUCGAUAAGUCCCGUGUGAAAGCCCCCGGCUCAACUGGGGAACUGCACGGGAAACUGACGGACUUGAGUUCGGGAGAGGGAAGCGGAAUUCCGGGUGUAGCGGUGAAAUGCGUAGAUAUCCGGAGGAACACCGGUGGCGAAGGCGGCGUCCUGGACCAACACUGACACUGAGGAGCGAAAGCCAGGGGAGCAAACGGG
rnacentral:rRNA from 1 species